GGGCACAUAGUAUAACGGAUAGUACGCGACCCCGCGGAGGUUGUAAUCAGGGUUCGAUUCCCUGUGUGCCCA
rnacentral:tRNA from 1 species